rnacentral:rRNA from 1 species
AUUGAACGCUGGCGGCAGGCCUAACACAUGCAAGUCGAACGAGUGGCGGAGGGGUGAGUAAUGUCUGGGAAACUGCCUGCUGGAGGGGGAUAACUACUGGAAACGGUAGCAAAUACCGCAUACCAUCGGAGGUGCCCAGAUGGGAUUAGCAAGUUGGUGGGGUAACGGGUUACCAGGGCGACGAUUCCUAGCUGGUCUGCGAGGAUGACAAGCCACACUGGAACUGAGACACGGUCCAGACGCCUACGUGAGGCAGGAGUGGGGAAUAUUGCACAAUUGGCGCAAGCCUGAUGCAGCCAUGCCGCGUGUAUGAAGAGGGCCUUCGGGUUGUAAAGUACUUUCAGCGGGGAGGCGUUACCCGCAGAAGAAGCACCGGCUAACUCCGUGCCAGCAGCCGCGGUAAUUC